rnacentral:rRNA from 1 species
GAUGAACGCUGGCGGCGUGCUUAACACAUGCAAGUCGAACGGGACUUGUUAAGUUGAAACUUCGGUCGAUUCUUUUCAAGUCUAGUGGCGGACGGGUGAGUAACGCGUGGGUAACCUGCCUCACACUGGGGGAUAACAGUCAGAAAUGACUGCUAAUACCGCAUAAGCGCACAGCAUCGCAUGAUGCAGUGUGAAAACUCCGGUGGUGUGAGAUGGACCCGCGUUGGAUUAGCUAGUUGGCAGGGCAGCGGCCUACCAAGGCGACGAUCCAUAGCCGGCCUGAGAGGGUGAACGGCCACAUUGGGACUGAGACACGGCCCAG